ensembl:lncRNA
UGAUGAGUAAUCUGCUGUUAUCUGAAGUGGUGUUCCCCUAUAGCAUUUCAGACGUUAACUGUUGAAUAAGGGGUGACUUCGACACACAUUUGAUGAGGACUCUGAGGAAUUUGAGGAUGAUGCAAUAAUGGACAGGUAUUUACCCAGGAUAAAUGAAAGCGUAUCUCUAUACAAAGACUUGUACAUCAUUGUUUACGGCAGCUUUACUUGUAACAGCCUCAGAUUGGAAAUAACCGUAGUGUCCAUCAACAGCCCCAUGGACUGUUGCCCACUAAGCUCCUCCGUCCAUGGAAUUUCCAGGCAAGAAUCCUGGAGUGGGUUGCCAUUUCCGAUUCCAGCGGAUCUUCCCUACCCAGGGAUUGAACCUGCAUCUCCUGGGUCUCCUGCAUUGGGAGUUUGGGGGUAAAGGGCAGGCGAGAGAUACAGCGAAUGAGAAGAAGAUAUGGGAUCAAGCGAGGAUUUUGGUCUUUUAUGAAGCUGGGAUAUGCCACAGCAUGUUUAGAUGCUGACGAGCAGAGAGCACAAACAGAUG